AAACCAUGAUGAGGACACUCUAAGAGAAGAUCCUUAAAACGUUCCAUACACCUAUGAAAUGAUUCACUGGGAUUUUGAUGGAACUGAAGAAUGUCGUUCCUAAGUUU
rnacentral:snoRNA from 1 species